GUGAGGAAUUUUCCGCAAUGGGCGAAAGCCUGACGGAGCAAUGCCGCGUGAAGGAUGAAGGCCUAUGGGUUGUAAACUUCUUUUCUCAGAAAAGAAUUAUGACGGUAUCUGAGGAAUAAGCAUCGGCUAACUCUGUGCCAGCAGCCGCGGUAAGACAGAGGAUGCAAGCGUUAUCCGGAAUGAUUGGGCGUAAAGCGUCUGUAGGUUGUUUAAAAAGUAUUCUGUCAAAGAUUAGGGCUUAACCCUAGAUAGGCAGAAUAAACUUUUGAGCUAGAGUUUGGUAGGGGCAGAGGGAAUUCGCGGUGGAGCGGUGAAAUGCGUAGAUAGCGGGAGGAACACCAAAGGCGAAGGCACUCUGCUGGGCCAAUACUAACACUGAGGGACGAAAGCGAGGGGAGCAAAUGGGAUUAGAUACCCCGGUAGUCC
rnacentral:rRNA from 1 species